AAGUCGUAACAAGGUAACCGUAGGUGAACCUGCGGUUGGAUCAUUAACAAAAAAAAAAUAUUUUAAAGAAGUGAAUUGAAAAGUUUGGAGAUUAAAGGGGAAGAAAUUUUCCUUUAAUUUUUUUUUCAUUCCUUUUUUAUUAAACCAUUUUGUGAAUUUUAAAAAAAAAGUCUUUAAUGGGUUAAGACGUUUUUAAAAUGUUUUUAAAAUGUUUUACUGAACGAGUUUAAAAGAAAUUUUAAACUACCCAUUACUUUUUUAAACUAUUUAAACAUAAACAUAAGUCAUUAUUUAUUUUUUAAACAAAAAAAAAAUUAUAAACAACUUUUGACAACGGAUCUCUUGGCUCUC
rnacentral:misc_RNA from 1 species